rnacentral:rRNA from 1 species
ACUCCUGCGGGAGGCAGCAGUGGGGAAUAUUGGACAAUGGGCGCAAGCCUGAUCCAGCCAUGCCGCGUGAGUGAUGAAGGCCCUAGGGUUGUAAAGCUCUUUCACCGGUGAAGAUAAUGACGGUAACCGGAGAAGAAGCCCCGGCUAACUUCGUGCCAGCAGCCGCGGUAAUACGAAGGGGGCUAGCGUUGUUCGGAUUUACUGGGCGUAAAGCGCACGUAGGCGGACUAUUAAGUCAGGGGUGAAAUCCCGGGGCUCAACCCCGGAACUGCCUUUGAUACUGGUAGUCUUGAGUUCGAGAGAGGUGAGUGGAAUUCCGAGUGUAGAGGUGAAAUUCGUAGAUAUUCGGAGGAACACCAGUGGCGAAGGCGGCUCACUGGCUCGAUACUGACGCUGAGGUGCGAAAGCGUGGGGAGCAAACAGGAUUAGAUACCCGGGUAGUCCCA